UUCCCAUCAUGGCCCUGACUGUGUGGAGUUUGUAUAUUCUCCCCAAGCUUACGUGGGUGUCCUCUGGGUGCUCCGGUUUCCUCCCACUCUCCAAAUAUAUACUGGUAGGUUAAUUGGCACCCAUAGGGGCACACAGAGAAACUGACGUGUGAUUUUGGUCUCUGGAAGUUCCCGGUGACAUCAUUAUAUAACAAUCUGGUGGUGAAUCAUCCGUCAGGGUGUGUACUAAAUACACAAUAUAAGUGUCGGGUGCUGAGGCUGUGACAGAACUCUUCCAUCUGCAGCUAUGGUAACACUGCCGAGCCUGGCUCUCCCCAUGUUGGUGAUCCUGGUAGGGACCACUCUGGCGAUGGUGCCAGCUCCACCGGAGACGGGCAAAUAUGAAGGGCCCAUGUGUUGUCAGAGCAGGAUCUGCAGUGGCUGUCGAUGUCGCAGUGUGAAUAACAAGGUGUCUGAAGAAGAAUCCAUAAACGAUUCAGAAGUAAAAGAUGAUUAUAAUAAGAAGAAUUAUAGUAACACCGAUCAACCACUGAAUAUUACAGCUAAUAAGUUUCAUGAGAUUGGCUUUAUAGAUUGUUACCUCUGUAAGAUAUCUCGCUGCUGAUUACUAUGUAACAAGAGUCAGUGAAUUUAUUAAACAAAGAAAACCUCCAGAUAGUUCAA